UACGUAGGGUGCGAGCGUUAAUCGGAAUUACUGGGCGUAAAGCGUGCGCAGGCGGUUUUGUAAGCCAGAUGUGAAAUCCCCGGGCUUAACCUGGGAAUGGCAUUGGGACUGGCAAGGCUUGAGUGCGGCAGAGGAGACUGGAAUUCCUGGUGUAGCAGUGAAAUGCGUAGAUAUCAGGAGGAACACCGGUGGCGAAGGCGGGUCUCGUGGGCCGUUAGCUGGACGCUGGAGGAGCGAAAGCGU
rnacentral:rRNA from 1 species